AAUCAACGCUGGCGGCGUGCCUCAGACAUGCAAGUCGAACGCGAAAGUUUCCUUCGGGGAACAAGUAGAGUGGCGCACGGGUGAGUAACACGUAGGUAAUCUACCUUUGGAUGGGGAAUAACAACCGGAAACGGUUGCUAAUACCGCAUAAUGCAGCGGCACCUAAUGGUGACAGUUGUUAAAGCGGGGGAUCGAAAGACCUCGCGUCUGAAGAGGAGCCUGCGGCGGAUUGGCAGUUGGUAAGGUAAUGGCUUACCAAGGCGACGAUCCGUAACCGCCUGAGAGGGCGGUCGGUCACACUGACACUGACA
rnacentral:rRNA from 1 species